AAAUUGAAGAGUUUGAUCAUGGCUCAGAUUGAACGCUGGCGGCAGGCCUAACACAUGCAAGUCGAACGGUAGCACAGAGAGCUUGCUCUCGGGUGACGAGUGGCGGACGGGUGAGUAAUGUCUGGGAAACUGCCUGAUGGAGGGGGAUAACUACUGGAAACGGUAGCUAAUACCGCAUAACGUCGCAAGACCAAAGAGGGGGACCUUCGGGCCUCUUGCCAUCAGAUGUGCCCAGAUGGGAUUAGCUAGUAGGUGGGGUAACGGCUCACCUAGGCGACGAUCCCUAGCUGGUCUGAGAGGAUGACCAGCCACACUGGAACUGAGACACGGUCCAGACUCCUACGGGAGGCAGCAGUGGGGAAUAUUGCACAAUGGGCGCAAGCCUGAUGCAGCCAUGCCGCGUGUAUGAAGAAGGCCUUCGGGUUGUAAAGUACUUUCAGCGGGGAGGAAGGUGUUGUGGUUAAUAACCRCAGCAAUUGACGUUACCCGCAGAAGAAGCACCGGCUAACUCCGUGCCAGCAGCCGCGGUAAUACGGAGGGUGCAAGCGUUAAUCGGAAUUACUGGGCGUAAAGCGCACGCAGGCGGUCUGUCAAGUCGGAUGUGAAAUCCCCGGGCUCAACCUGGGAACUGCAUUCGAAACUGGCAGGCUAGAGUCUUGUAGAGGGGGGUAGAAUUCCAGGUGUAGCGGUGAAAUGCGUAGAGAUCUGGAGGAAUACCGGUGGCGAAGGCGGCCCCCUGGACAAAGACUGACGCUCAGGUGCGAAAGCGUGGGGAGCAAACAGGAUUAGAUACCCUGGUAGUCCACGCCGUAAACGAUGUCGACUUGGAGGUUGUGCCCUUGAGGCGUGGCUUCCGGAGCUAACGCGUUAAGUCGACCGCCUGGGGAGUACGGCCGCAAGGUUAAAACUCAAAUGAAUUGACGGGGGCCCGCACAAGCGGUGGAGCAUGUGGUUUAAUUCGAUGCAACGCGAAGAACCUUACCUACUCUUGACAUCCAGAGAACUUWSCAGAGAUGSWUUGGUGCCUUCGGGAACUCUGAGACGUCGUAGUCCGGAUUGGAGUCUGCAACUCGACUCCAUGAAGUCGGAAUCGCUAGUAAUCGUAGAUCAGAAUGCUACGGUGAAUACGUUCCCGGGCCUUGUACACACCGCCCGUCACACCAUGGGAGUGGGUUGCAAAAGAAGUAGGUAGCUUAACCUUCGGGAGGGCGCUUACCACUUUGUGAUUCAUGACUGGGGUGAAGUCGUAACAAGGUAACCGUAGGGGAACCUGCGGUUGGAUCACCUCCUUA
rnacentral:rRNA from 1 species